rnacentral:lncRNA from 1 species
GAUAUGAUUGGUUGAGUUCUGACUAUAACCGAAUCUAGGGAUCUGAUUAAAAUCAGAUCUAAGACCAAGAAUACUAGGUUUACAUGAUUCAAAUUAUCGGAUUAUCGGCAAUCUUUAGAAUCUCUCAUAAUCUUGGGCUAAUUGAUAGGCUUAUUUUAGGCUAUAGACUUCAUGCAUAAAUAGUUCUCUCUGCAUGUUAUCCCUUAAACCAGCUCUAAAUCAUGACAAGAUGAC